rnacentral:tRNA from 1 species
AGAAAUAUAGUUAAAUUAUAAUAUUUAUUUUGCUAAUAAAAGUUAUUAAUUAUUAAUUAUUUUUG